rnacentral:rRNA from 1 species
AACGAACGCUGGCGGCAGGCUUAACACAUGCAAGUCGAGCGCCCCGCAAGGGGAGCGGCAGACGGGUGAGUAACGCGUGGGAAUCUACCCAUCUCUACGGAAUAACGCAUGGAAACGUGUGCUAAUACCGUAUACGUCCUUCGGGAGAAAGAUUUAUCGGAGAUGGAUGAGCCCGCGUUGGAUUAGCUAGUUGGUGGGGUAAAGGCCUACCAAGGCGACGAUCCAUAGCUGGUCUGAGAGGAUGAUCAGCCACACUGGGACUGAGACACGGACCAGACUCUUACGGUAGGCAGCAGUGGGGAAUAUUGGACAAUGGGCGUAAGCCUGCUCCAGCCAUGCCGCGUGAGUGAUGAAGGCCCUAGGGUUGUAAAGCUCUUUCACCGGUGAAGAUAAUGACGGUAACCGGAGAAGAAGCCCCGGCUAACUUCGUGCCAGCCGCCGCGGUAAGAC